rnacentral:rRNA from 1 species
CCUACGGGAGGCAGCAGUAGGGAAUUUUCCACAAUGGGCGAAAGCCUGAUGGAGCAACGCCGCGUGGGUGAAGAAGGUCUUCGGAUCGUAAAACCCUGUUGUUAGAGAAGAAAGUGCGUGAGAGUAACUGUUCACGUUUCGACGGUAUCUAACCAGAAAGCCACGGCUAACUACGUGCCAGCAGCCGCGGUAAUACGUAGGUGGCAAGCGUUAUCCGGAUUUAUUGGGCGAAAAGGGAACGCAGGCGGUCUUUUAAGUCUGAGGUGAAAGCCUUGGGCUUAACCGGAGUAGGGCAUUGGAAACUGGGGGACUUGGGUGCAGAAGGGGAGAGGGGAACUCCAUGUG